rnacentral:rRNA from 1 species
UACGUAGGCAGCAAGCGUUGUUCGGAAUUACUGGGCGUAAAGAGUGUGUAGGCGGUGCUCUAAGUCUGUUGUGAAAUCUCCCGGCUUAACUGGGAGGGUGCGGCGGAAACUGGAGUGCUCGAGGGUGGGAGAGGUAAGCGGAAUUCCUGGUGUAGCGGUGAAAUGCGUAGAGAUGUGGAGGAACACCGAUGGCGAAGGCAGCCUUCUGGGCCAACACUGACGCUCAUGCACGAAAGCGUGGGGAGCAAACAGG